rnacentral:rRNA from 1 species
GACGAACGCUGGCGGCGUGCUUAAUACAUGCAAGUCAACGACUUUUAGAGUAGCAAUAUUUAAAGGAGUGGCGCACGGGUGAGUAACACGUAGGUAAUCUGCCUUCAGGACUGACACAACUCGUCGAAAGACGGGCUAAUAUCAGAUAAUGCAGCGGCUCCGCAUGGAGACAGUUGUUAAAGUACAAGCGCCUGAAGAUGAGCCUGCGGUCCAUUAGCUAGUUGGUAGAGUAACAGCCUACCAAGGCAACGAUGGAUAGCUGGUCUGAGAGGAUGAUCAGCCACACUGGAACUGAGACACGGUCCAGACUCCUACGGGAGGCAGCAGUAAGGAAUAUUGCUCAAAUGGCCGAAAGGCUGAAGCAGCAACGCCGCGUGAAGGAUGAAUGGCCUUUGGCCUGUAAACUUCUGUAAAAAGGGAAAA